rnacentral:rRNA from 1 species
UACAGAGGGGGCAAGCGUUUAUUCGGAAUUAUUGGGCGUAAAGGGCGCGUAGGCGGCCUGGCAAGUGGAAGGUGAAAUCCCUCGGCUUAACCGAGGAACUGCCUUCCAGACUGCUUGGCUUGAGACCGGGAGAGGUGAGUGGAAUUCCCAGUGUAGCGGUGAAAUGCGUAGAUAUUGGGAGGAACACCAGUGGCGAAGGCGGCUCACUGGACCGGUACUGACGCUGAUGCGCGAAAGCGUGGGGAGCAAACGGG